rnacentral:rRNA from 1 species
CUCUGUGACUCCUACGGGAGGCAGCAGUGGGGAAUAUUGCACAAUGGGCGCAAGCCUGAUGCAGCCAUGCCGCGUGUGUGAAGAAGGCCUUCGGGUUGUAAAGCACUUUCAGUUGUGAGGAAGGUGGUGUCGUUAAUAGCGGCAUCAUUUGACGUUAGCAACAGAAGAAGCACCGGCUAACUCCGUGCCAGCAGCCGCGGUAAUACGGAGGGUGCGAGCGUUAAUCGGAAUUACUGGGCGUAAAGCGCAUGCAGGUGGUUUGUUAAGUCAGAUGUGAAAGCCCGGGGCUCAACCUACGGAACUGCUAUUUAGAAACUGGCAGACUAGAGUACUGUAGAGGGGGUAGAAUUUCAGGUGUAGCGGUGAAAUGCGUAGAGAUCUGAAGGAAUACCGGUGGCGAAGGCGGCCCCCUGGACAGAUACUGACACUCAGAUGCGAAAGCGUGGGGAGCAAACAGGAUUAGAUACCCUGGUAG